UAUAUUCCUUGAUUUUUUUUUUUUUUUGUCAACAUCUAGUUUUCAUAGGUUUUUUCUUUGAUAUAUUGUGGUCCUUCCCUGACUAAUGCAUUUCUUUGGAGUCGCAGGAGAAGUGCAUUCUGUGCAGUGCAUUGCAGAAUAUGUGGAAUUUGAGUGUUGCCCCAAAGUGAAUUUAUUUAAUAUUUUGCAAAAAGAAACGAGAACUAUACUUUUGUGUCAAGUACUUUUUAAAUCAUUUGUCAGUGACCAAAUGGCUAACACUGUUUUUGAUUCUAACAGAGCUUGUAACCCUAUUAGGAAUUAUAUUAGGCAGUGCUCAUGGAGAAGGGUGAUCAUUUUGGCCUUGAACCUAAACUAGGUUUUUGAGAAAUGCAGAUUUAAUCAUAUUUGUUAUCCCUAGGAGUCCAGUCUAUGGAGUACCUGAAAUUUUUUCAUAAAAGAGUAUUUUAGAAUAAAUUCUUUUAAAGCAGGACCUUUAUUCUGAGAGUAGGUGGAUUCUUUGGAGAUACAGUGUCCUCAGGUGUCUGUGAGCCAGAUUUCUGGUGCACAUCCAGAGUACUGGGCAGCCACCUCGGCUGGUUUCUUCCAGAUUAUUUCAUUGUGACUUACCGCUGGAAAGGCACUAUUAUUUUUUGCUCUGUUAUGGAAGGAAUUUGCAACUUUACAUCUCAAAAUAUUAAGUUUUUUAAAAAGACUUAAGAUCCAGUUUUCCUGUUGGACUAUAAAUGCCAAGUAUUUUCUGAAGAUUGUGAUUCUGUGAGCAGCCUAGCCAUGCAGUCCCAAAUACUAAUUUUUGCUGGUUUUUAAUGAUAUGAAUGGCUGAAGUUAUUUUUCUACAAACAAAAACAUGCAGAACAACUUUAGAGCUGCUAAGCUUUUUCUCAUUUGCUUAUAUUUUGUAAAUUUUCAAAUAGUGUUGGGUUUUCAUUAUUUUUCUCAAGGUACAAUUACCUGUUUCAUCCUUUUCAAGCAACUUAAAUGUGUUUUUUAUCCUGUUCAAAUAAGAGUUGUUUGAUUUGUUAAGCUGUAUGAAAUCAGAAAUUUCUAUGAACUUCUUCACGAGGUUUGCUGUAAAUUUUUUUCCUGUAAAAUUUUAAUGACUGUGUUUAACAAAGUAAAUCAUAUAAACACACACACACACACACACACACACACACAGAGUCUGUUUAGCCAAAACACUAGCAACAUUCCAAAAGUAGGCCGACUGACAUUUGCUUACAGUCAUCACCAGUAUUUUGCAAAAAGGGAACAGGCUUAUUGACAUUUUAAAUGUCCAAACUAUGAGAUUUAGACUUUUGUAAUGUUUUCUGCUCUAAUUAAUUCUCAGUUUGCCUUGUGUGUAUUUUUCAUAACACUUAGUCUUUAUCAUUGGGGCCUUUAAUACUUCGGAUAAUUUAGGUUUUUACAAAAUUUGUGUAAGCUUGUGACUUAGAGAAAUCAUAGUGGGGGAGCAUACAUUCUGUUCAUCUUUUUUUUCAGUGUCAGAUUUUUAUUGUCAGGGUCGUUAGGAAGAUACACACCUUCUUAACUUGGUUAACUUAAGUUGCAACAAGCACUUAGCUUCUGUCUAUUAUGUCUUAUAAUUUUUUUUUCUUUCUAGUCCCAGGACUCUGCCUUCUCUGUGCAUCCCCCUCUAACAGGAUGUCUUGGUUUACUUUUUCUCUGAUGUUGGCCAUGUGGAUGGGCCAGUUUUAACCUUUUACUAUCCUUAUCCUUUGGGGUGGGUUCCUGUUUCUCAGCUAUCUUGGGAACUCCUGCUGUCUGAUUGUGGUGUUUGCAUGUUCCUUAACUCUAAACCAUUAACUCUUCAAGCACACCAGCUGUGCGGUGAGAGCUGUUUGUUAUUCUAAAUAUUUUUAUUCUUGGAGACCUGUUGUGGAACAGUCUCCCCAGGACUUCCGUUGUCAUCAUGUAUCUGGGUAGCCAGCACAGACCUCCGGCUCCCAGGUUUGUCUAUAAAGAGAUGGCAGCAAGUCCGAUGGAGAGAGGUGUGCACUCAGGCCUGAAUUCUGCAUAGGAAUUUGCCACUUGCUAGUUGUGUGGUGUGGGAGGGAGUCACGUCGUCUCCCCACACCUGUUUCUUAGUCUGUAUGAUGUUGAUCAGACUGGAUAUGGCCACAGAACUCCAGGCAUUCUGAAGAGAUGCCUCAGGGACCCUUUCAGAGAAGGGCUAAUGAGGGCUAAUGAGGACUCAUUUGCACUGGUCAUUGGCCAGCAUGAAUCACCAGGCCUGUAUGUCAAUGUAUUAUAAGAAAUGUCCAAACAUGUGGAGAAUUUUUAUGAGUUUAUAUGAGCCAGAAUAACAACAUAUACCAGGGAGCAUGAUCUCAAAUGCUCUGCUCUGUUCAUCUUAAAUUUCUUUAAUGUUUUUGGUCAGAGAAAUAGUGUUUGUAGGGGAGAAUGUUUUAGAGGUGCUGCUUGUUUAGUUUUGAAGUUUUUGUGAUGCCAUGGUGUAUUGGACAGAGUUUGAGAAAUUGAUCUAAGAGUGUCCUCAGUUUGUAUCUAUUUAAACCCUGUAAUUAAAGACUUUUCCCAUGAGGCCUCAGUGAGAAGGAAGUACAUUGAACAGAAAAGAGAGGAAGUAAAUUUAAAAAUCAAGUAAACAAUAAUGCUUGAUAUUUUUCACACGAAUGCUAGGUUGAUUAUAUACAUAAUCACCACUUUCCCACUAUUCUGCAAAGUGACUACCAUUCUGUUUUACAGAUGAGGAGACUUAAAGUUCAAAGAGUUUAGGUGACUGGCAUAGAGACCCAUAGUUGGUAAGUGGUGGAGAUGAACUUGAAAGCUUGCCUCUUAAUCACUCGGCCUUACUGUCUCCCAGUAUUUGAUUAUUCCCGUACUGCAGAGGAACUCCUUUACCAAAUCUCAGUGUUUCUAGGCUGUGUCUCUGCAGAAACCAAACAGUUGUGUGUUCACUGAAAUGUGUAAAAAGUAGCUCUAUUUCUCCAUCUUUUCUUAUAUUUUAUUGAAGGUCUAAAAUUUCUCCAGUUGCCCUAGUGUUUUCAUUGUACAUGGAGUCCUUGGUUGUUUAGUCUGAAGGUGAAGAGCACUAAAAACAGGCCGUAUGGGGACCAGUAUAUAGGAAAGCCAUUAUCUUACAUAGCUACAUUUUAAAUUUUAAGCUGUCAGGAUAAGGUAUGUCACAAAGACAGCUGCAGUCUAUUCAAGUUACGUUUUCCCUAAAUUGAAUCGGCCCUUUAAAAGAAAUGCUGCUUCCCUUUUACAGGACUCUGUAUAAACUAUUAAAAGUACUUCAAAAGGGUUAGUGUCGGAUAUCUCGAAUCAGAUAAAAACAAAGGUGUAACAUGAAGCAACUAAAUUACCAAAUGUGAGCUUAAUGAUUGUGACCCAAAUAAACAGACUUGUAAUAGAGAUGCUGAUUGUUAUCAGGACAGUUUAAAUAAAUGCCUUUUACUGUAGAACUGUAAAAAAA